GUGGAUGAGGCAUGCAAGUCGAACGCAGUUGAGUAGCAAUACUCAAUUGAGUGGCGGAAGGGUUAGUAAUACAUGGGUAACCUGCCUUUAACCUGGGGAUAACAGUUGGAAACGACUGCUAAUACCGAAUGAGGUGCAUUAGGAGAUCCUGGAUGCAUCAAAGUGGGGGAUCGCAAGACCUUGCGGUUGAAGAGGGGCUCAUGGGAUAUCAGCUAGUUGGAGUGGUAACGGCACACCAAGGCUAAGACGUCUAGGCGAUUGAGAGAUUG
rnacentral:rRNA from 1 species